UACAGAGGGUGCGAGCGUUAAUCGGAAUUACUGGGCGUAAAGGGUGCGUAGGCGGUUAUAUAAGUUAGAUGUGAAAGCCCUGGGCUUAACCUGGGAACUGCGUUUAAUACUGUAUAGCUAGAGUACUGCAGAGGUUAGUGGAAUUUCCAGUGUAGCGGUGAAAUGACGUAGAUAUUGGAAGGAACAUCAGUGGCGAAGGCGACUAACUGGGCAGAUACUGACGCUGAGGAGGCGAAAGCGUGGGGAGCAAACAGG
rnacentral:rRNA from 1 species